rnacentral:rRNA from 1 species
CGGGGUGCAGCAGGCGCGAAAACUUUACAAUGCUGGAAACAGCGAUAAGGGGACCUCGAGUGCCAGGUUACAAAUCUGGCUGUCGUGAUGCCUAAAAAGCAUUGCAUAGCAAGGGCCGGGCAAGACCGGUGCCAGCCGCCGCGGUAACACCGGCGGCUCGAGUGGUAACCGUUAUUAUUGGGUCUAAAGGGUCUGUAGCCGGCCGGAUAAGUCUCUUGGGAAAUCCAGCAGCUCAACUGUUGGGCUUUCAGGAGAUACUGUCUGGCUCGAGGCCGGGAGAGGUGAGAGGUACUUCAGGGGUAGGGGUGAAAUCUUGUAAUCCUUGAAGGACCACCAGUGGCGAAGGCGUCUCACCAGAACGGACCUGACGGCAAGGGACGAAAGCUAGGGGCACGAACCGGAUUAGAUACCCGGGUAGUCCUAGCCGUAAACGAUACUCGCUAGGUGUCGGCCACGGUGCGACCGUUGUCGGUGCCGUAGGGAAGCCGUGAAGCGAGCCACCUGGGAAGUACGGCCGCAAGGCUGAAACUUAAAGGAAUUGGCGGG